rnacentral:rRNA from 1 species
GAUGAACGCUGGCGGCGUGCUUAACACAUGCAAGUCGAACGGAGAGCUAUUGACGGAGUUUUCGGACAACAGAUAUAGUUUCUUAGUGGCGGACGGGUGAGUAACGCGUGAGGAACCUGCCUUGGAGAGGGGAAUAACACAGAGAAAUUUGUGCUAAUACCGCAUAAUGCAGUUGGGUCGCAUGGCUCUGACUGCCAAAGAUUUUAUCGCUCUGAGAUGGCCUCGCGUCUGAUUAGGUAGUUGGCGGGGUAACGGCCCACCAAGCCGACGAUCAGUAGCCGGACUGAGAGGUUGACCGGCCACAUUGGGACUGAGACACGGCCCAGACUCCUACGGGAGGCAGCAGUGGGGAAUAUUGGGCAAUGGGCGCAAGCCUGACCCAGCAACGCCGCGUGAAGG